rnacentral:rRNA from 1 species
GUCCACGCCGUAAACGUUGGGCGCUAGGUGUGGGGGACUUUCCACGUCCUCUGUGCCGCAGCUAACGCAUUAAGCGCCCCGCCUGGGGAGUACGGCCGCAAGGCUAAAACUCAAAGGAAUUGACGGGGGCCCGCACAAGCGGCGGAGCAUGCGGAUUAAUUCGAUGCAACGCGAAGAACCUUACCUGGGUUUGACAUACUCGGAAAUCCGGCAGAGAUGUCGGGUCCGCAAGGGCCGAGUACAGGUGGUGCAUGGCUGUCGU